GACGAACGCUGGCGGCGUGCUUAACACAUGCAAGUCGAACGGAGUGGCGAACGGGUGAGUAACACGUGGGUGAACUGCCCUGCACUUCGGGCUAAGCCUGGGGAACUGGGUCUAAUACCGGAUAGUGUGGGAUGGGCGCGCGGGCUAUCAGCUGGUUGGUGGGGUAAUGGCCUACCAAGGCGGCGACGGGUAGCCGGCCUGGGAGGGUGGACGGCCACAUUGCGACUGAGACACGGCGCAGACUCCUACGGGAGGCAGUAGUGGGGAAUCUUGCACAAUGGGCGGACGCGUGAUGCAGCGGCGUCGCGUGCGUGAUGACGGCCUUUUGGUGGUAAACUCCUUUCACCAUCGACGCGGUAGAUGGAGAGGAAGCACCGGCUAACUACGUGCCAGCAGCCGCGGUAAUUC
rnacentral:rRNA from 1 species